rnacentral:rRNA from 1 species
AACGAACGCUGGCGGCAUGCCUAACACAUGCAAGUCGAACGAGACCUUCGGGUCUAUGGGCGCACGGUUUCGUAACGCGUGGGAACCUGCCCUUAGGGUCGGAAUAACUCCCCGAAAGGGGUGCUAAUACCGGAUAAUGUCUUCGGACCAAAGAUUUAUCGCCUUUGGAUAGGCCCGCGUUGGAUUAGCUAGUUGGUAGGGUAAAAGCCUACCAAGGCGACGAUCCAUAGCUGGUCUGAGAGGAUGAUCAGCGACACUGGGACUGAGACACGGCCCAGACUCCUACGGGAGGAAGCAGUGGGGAAUAUUGGACAAUGGGCGAAAGCCUGAUCCAGCAAUGCCGCGUGAGUGAUGAAGGCAUUAGGGUUGUAAAGCUCUUUUACCCGGGAUGAUAAUGACAGUACCGGGAGAAUAAGCUCCGGCUAACUCCGUG